GGCUCAGGAUGAACGCUGGCGGUAUGCUUAACACAUGCAGGUCGAACGGGAAUCUUAGGAUUCUAGUGGCGGACGGGUGAGUAACGCGUGAGAAUUUGGCUUCAGGUCGGGGACAACAGUUGGCAACGACUGCUAAUACCGGAUAUGCCGAAAGGUGAAAGAUUUAUUGCCUGAAGAUAAGCUCGCGUCUGAUUAGCUAGUUGGUGGGGUAAGAGCCUACCAAGGCGACGAUCAGUAGCUGGUCUGAGAGGAUGAUCAGCCACACUGGGACUGAGACACGGCCCAGACUCCUACGGGAGGCAGCAGUGGGGAAUUUUCCGCAAUGGGCGAAAGCCUGACGGAGCAAUACCGCGUGAGGGAGGAAGGCUCUUGGGUCGUAAACCUCUUCUCUCAGGGAAGAAAAAAAUGACGGUACCUGAGGAAUAAGCAUCGGCUAACUCCGUGCCAGCAGCCGCGGUAAUACGGAGGAUGCAAGCGUUAUCCGGAAUGAUUGGGCGUAAAGGGUCUGUAGGUGGUGCUGUAAGUCUGCUGUUAAAGAGUCACGCUCAACGUGAUAAAAGCGGUGGAAACUACAGGACUAGAGUGCGGUCGGGGCAGAAGGAAUUCCUGGUGUAGCGGUGAAAUGCGUAGAUAUCAGGAAGAACACCGGUGGCGAAAGCGUUCUGCUAGUCCGCAACUGACACUGAGGGACGAAAGCUAGGGGAGCGAAUGGGAUUAGAUACCCCAGUAGUCCUAGCCGUAAACGAUGGAUACUAGGCGUGGCUUGUAUCGACCCGAGCCGUGCCGGAGCUAACGCGUUAAGUAUCCCGCCUGGGGAGUACGCACGCAAGUGUGA
rnacentral:rRNA from 1 species